rnacentral:rRNA from 1 species
AUUGAACGCUGGCGGCAGGCCUAACACAUGCAAGUCGAGCGGAUGAAGGGAGCUUGCUCCUGGAUUCAGCGGCGGACGGGUGAGUAAUGCCUAGGAAUCUGCCUGGUAGUGGGGGAUAACGUCCGGAAACGGGCGCUAAUACCGCAUACGUCCUGUGGGAGAAAGUGGGGGAUCUUCGGACCUCACGCUAUCAGAUGAGCCUAGGUCGGAUUAGCUAGUUGGUGGGGUAAAGGCCUACCAAGGCGACGAUCCGUAACUGGUCUGAGAGGAUGAUCAGUCACACUGGAACUGAGACACGGUCCAGACUCCUACGGGAGGCAGCAGUGGGGAAUAUUGGACAAUGGGCGAAAGCCUGAUCCAGCCAUGCCGCGUGUGUGAAGAAGGUCCUCGGAUUGUAAAGCACUUUAAGUUGGGAGGAAGGGCAGUAAGUUAAUACCUUGCUGUUUUGACGUUACCAACAGAAUAAGCACCGGCUAACUUCGUG